rnacentral:rRNA from 1 species
GACAGAGGCCUCAAGCGUUAGGCGGAAUCACUGGGCUUAAAGCGUGUGUAGGCGGAUCGUUAAGUGUCUUGUGAAAUCCCACGGCUCAACCGUGGAACUGCUUGGUAUACUGGUUCUCUUGAGCCACCUAGGGGCAACCGGAACAAACGGUGGAGCGGUGAAAUGCGUAGAUAAUCGUUUGGAACGCCAAUGGUGAAACAGGUUGCU